rnacentral:rRNA from 1 species
AACGAACGCUGGCGGCAGGCCUAACACAUGCAAGUCGAACGAUCUCUUCGGAGAUAGUGGCAGACGGGUUAGUAACGCGUGGGAACCUACCUAGUAGUGCGGAAUAGCCUCGGGAAACUGGGAUUAAUACCGCAUACGCCCUUAGGGGGAAAGAUUUAUCGCUAUUAGAUGGGCCCGCGUUGGAUUAGUUUGUUGGUGGGGUAAUGGCCUACCAAGACUACGAUCUAUAGCUGGUCUGAGAGGAUGAUCAGCAACACUGGGACUGAGACACGGCCCAG